rnacentral:rRNA from 1 species
CCUACGGGAGGCAGCAGUGGGGAAUAUUGGCACAAUGGGCGGAAGCCUGAUCCAGCCAUGCCGCGUGUGUGAAGAAGGCCUUUUGGUUGUAAAGCACUUUAAGCGAGGAGGAGGCUACUAGUACUAAUACUACUGGAUAGUGGACGUUACUCGCAGAAUAAGCACCGGCUAACUCUGUGCCAGCAGCCGCGGUAAUA